GAUCAUGGCUCAGAUUGAACGCUGGCGGCAGGCCUAACACAUGCAAGUCGAACGGUAACAGGAAACAGCUUGCUGUUUCGCUGACGAGUGGCGGACGGGUGAGUAAUGUCUGGGAAACUGCCUGAUGGAGGGGGAUAACUACUGGAAACGGUAGCUAAUACCGCAUAACGUCGCAAGACCAAAGAGGGGGACCCUCGGGCCUCUUGCCAUCGGAUGUGCCCAGAUGGGAUUAGCUUGUUGGUGGGGUAACGGCUCACCAAGGCGACGAUCCCUAGCUGGUCUAAGAGGAUGACCAGCCACACUGGAACUGAGACACGGUCCAGACUCCUACGGGAGGCAGCAGUGGGGAAUAUUGCACAAUGGGCGCAAGCCUGAUGCAGCCAUGCCGCGUGUAUGAAGAAGGCCUUCGGGUUGUAAAGUACUUUCAGCGGGGAGGAAGGGAGUAAAGUUAAUACCUUUGCUCAUUGACGUUACCCGCAGAAGAAGCACCGGCUAACUCCGUG
rnacentral:rRNA from 1 species